AAUUUAACGAAUAAUAGUGAAUAUAUGGUUUUAGGCUUUUGUAUGCAUUAGCAAAUGAAAAAAGAUUGUGAUUCUCUUUACAACUAUAGUCUGGAAGAUAAUGGAAUGUAACUCCUAAUGUUAAAAUGGUAAAGAUCUGUAAGAUCCUGAAGGAUGGCCUGUUGUAUGAAUAUAUACCAAGUUUCCAGUUUAUUAGAUUUACCUAUUUAAUAAUGCAUUGUACUUCUUUUGGCCUUCAGAAGAGCUUGACUGUUUCUGAGUGUGGAUUCUACAGGAUACUGAUUACAUUAUACUGGAAUAUUGUACCAUAUGAAAAUGAUUUCUUCACAUAGUUGCUGCAAAUUUAUUGGUGGUACAAUCUUGUUUUUAACCAAAUGAUCACAGAAUAGUGUUAACUUAUCAUAUGGAUAACCAGGUUUAAUUCCAUCAUUACACCACUUAUACUUUUUUAGAAGUAUUGGGUAUUGGAAUGCCUCAUUUAUUAGUAAAAUUUUGGCCAGAAAGUAUAUAAAAUAAGAAAGAAAAAAAGAUAUAUUCUUAUUGCAAACAUUCCUUUCUACAACAUUUUAAAAAUGAUCUAUAGGUUGAGGUCUGAGGCUACUGAACUAACAAAAACCCUUCAUGCUUUUAGAACUAUCCAGUGAUGAUAUGUGCCUUGAAGAAAAAUGCAUUGCCACACUGGAAAUAUGUAUUCUAAUGAGAAUAAAUUGCAAACAUGAAGGGAUGAACUUGGUAGCAAUGACAUUUGAAUAUGCCAUGGCAUUCAGUUAUUCUCCGUUGGGUAUUGAGUGCCUAUUGCAUGCUAGGAAUGCAUUCUCCACAUCAUCACAUUGCAAUCAUUGGCCUGUAUUAUUGAUAUGAAAUAAUAAUUGGAUUGGAUGGCAUGAUUCAUAGACUCAUAUUGCUUUUCUAAAUAAUUUCAAAUAAGAAUAAAAUGUCUAUGAAGGAAAUUAAAUGGAAAUAUUAGGAAAAAGGUGGUGAUAUGAAAAAUAUAAUUUUUAUGAAAUAAUAUAAACACUAUAGUACUUAAGUAGGAAUAGUCUUUAUUUUGGAAACGUUUUCAGUGAAACACUUGCUCCUUUCAGCUGCACAAAUGUAUAGACCUAAUGAUUUAAAUAUCUCUGAGAAUCUUAAGUCUAAAAAAUAAUAAAUAUAUGCUAGUUCUCUCAGUUCUCUCAGCACCUGUUGUUUCAUCAGCAUUCCCAUUUAAAUGCUUUUCUUCUCUUUAAAGAUGUAACUAUUCAAAGUUAUAAACAAAACAAUGGAACAACAAAUGCUGGAAGAAAGAACCAGCAUAUGUAAUAUUGGAAUAAUAUUGGAACAAUAUUGGAACCAGCAUAUGUUUGUUGUUAUUUUUUUAGAUUUAAUGGUUUAAAUGUCUCUGAAUCCUAGGUCUGUAUGAAUUGGCC
rnacentral:lncRNA from 1 species